ACGCUGGCGGCAGGCCUAACACAUGCAAGUCGAGUGGUAGAGAGAAGCUUGCUUCUCUUGAGAGCGGCGGACGGGUGAGUAAUGCCUAGGAAUCUGCCUGGUAGUGGGGGAUAACGUUCGGAAACGGACGCUAAUACCGCAUACGUCCUACGGGAGAAAGCAGGGGACCUUCGGGCCUUGCGCUAUCAGAUGAGCCUAGGUCGGAUUAGCUAGUUGGUGGGGUAAUGGCUCACCAAGGCGACGAUCCGUAACUGGUCUGAGAGGAUGAUCAGUCACACUGGAACUGAGACACGGUCCAGACUCCUACGGGAGGCAGCAGUGGGGAAUAUUGGACAAUGGGCGAAAGCCUGAUCCAGCCAUGCCGCGUGUGUGAAGAAGGUCUUCGGAUUGUAAAGCACUUUAAGUUGGGAGGAAGGGUUGUAGAUUAAUACUCUGCAAUUUUGACGUUACCGACAGAAUAAGCACCGGCUAACUCUGUGCCAGCAGCCGCGGUAAUACAGAGGGUGCAAGCGUUAAUCGGAAUUACUGGGCGUAAAGCGCGCGUAGGUGGUUAGUUAAGUUGGAUGUGAAAUCCCCGGGCUCAACCUGGGAUCUGCAUUCAAAACUGACUGACUAGAGUAUGGUAGAGGGUGGUGGAAUUUCCUGUGUAGCGGUGAAAUGCGUAGAUAUAGGAAGGAACACCAGUGGCGAAGGCGACCACCUGGACUGAUACUGACACUGAGGUGCGAAAGCGUGGGGAGCAAAC
rnacentral:rRNA from 1 species